UCGGGUAGCAAUAUUCGGUAAUGACAGUGGCGCAGGGGUGCGUAACGCGUGGGGAAUCUGCCUUGAAGUCUGGAAUAACUCCAAGAAAUCGGAGCUAAUACCGGAUGUGAUUAUUGGAAGGCAUCUUCUGAUACUCAAAGUUGGGGACCGUAAGGCCUGACGCUUUAAGAUGAUCCCGCGACCUAUCAGCUAGUUGGUGAGGUAACGGCUAACCAAGGCUAAGACGGGUAGCUGGUCUGAGAGGACGACCAGCCGCACUGGAACUGAGACACGGUCCAGACACCUACGGGUGGCAGCAGUCGAGAAUUUUUCUCAAUGGGGGAAACCCUGAAGGAGCGACGCCGCGUGGGGGAUGAAUGGCUUCGGCCCGUAAACCCCUGUCAUUUGCGAUCAAACCUUACGUUUUAAUAAAGCGUAAGCUGAUAGUAGCGGAAGAGGAAGGGACGGCUAACUCUGUGCCAGCAGCCGCGGUAAUACAGAGGUCCCAAGCGUUGUUCGGAUUCACUGGGCGUAAAGGGUGCGUAGGCGGUCGGGUAAGUCUGACGUGAAAUCUUCAAGCUUAACUUGGAAACUGCGUCGGAUACUAUUCGGCUAGAGGAAUGGAGGGGAGACUGGAAUACUUGGUGUAGCAGUGAAAUGCGUAGAUAUCAAGUGGAACACCAGUGGCGAAGGCGAGUCUCUGGACAUUUCCUGACGCUGAGGCACGAAAGCCAGGGGAGCAAACGGGAUUAGAUACCCCGGUAGUCCUGGCCCUAAACGGUGCACGUUUGCUGUAAGAGGAAUCGACCCCUUUUGUGGCGAAGCUAACGCGUUAAACGUGCCGCCUGGGAAGUACGGCCGCAAGGGUAAAACUCAAAG
rnacentral:rRNA from 1 species